CCUUACUUUCCAGCUGUGUACAGCUUAGAGCAUUCAUUCAUUCAUUCAUUCGCCAUGAAUCAGAGCCUGUGCUAGGCUUUAGAGAUAGAGAUACUCACAGGCUGAAGAGGUGGGUGGGAGUAGGCUCAUGAUUGAUUCUACUUCCUCUUUAGGAUUUUAUUUUAUUUUAUUUUAUGUUUGUCGGAAUCUUGUUCUCUCGCCCAGGCUAGAGCACAAUGGCGCGAUCUCGGCUCACUGCAAUCUCUGCCUCCCAGGUUCAAGUGAUUCUCCUGCCUCAGCCUUCCGAGUAGCUGGGACUACAGCUGCCUGCCAUCGCGCCCAGCGAAUUUUUUGGAUUUUUAGUAGAGACAAGGUUUCAUCAUGUUGGCCAGGAUGAUCUCGAUCUCCUGACCUCGUGAUCUGCCCGCCUCAGCCUCCCAAAGUGUUGGGAUUACAGGAAUGAGCCACAGCACCCGGCCCAGGAAUUUCUUUAAAUAACAUCACUGCAGUUCCAGUUCCAGUUUCAGUUACUUCCAUUUCUGGAGGUAACUGGCUAACUGAAAGAGGAAAUGUUAUUGUUACCCUGCAGACUCAAGCUGAGUGGAGACACACACUGAACAGAUGACAUGCCAGCAAAACUUGCCCCAAAAGUUGGGGAGGGAAAUGGUGCUCAACUGAAGGCAGCUGCUCUUGGGAGAGUCUUGACAGAGACCUCUGCAGCGAUAGUGCCUGGCAUCAGUGAUUGAGGGGGAGCCAUCUGAUCAACUUUUGUUUCCGAAGGAAAACCCUGAGGAAACUCACUACCAUCCUCAGUGGCUGGUGGAUGGAUAAAGAGGUGGAAAGCAAGUUGAGUGAGCAGAAACUAUGAAGAGCCAUGAGCAGUUCCGGGGGAGCAGCUGCGAGCAUCAUGGAAGGCCUCUGCUCUGUCGGAGAAGCCGGGAUCCUCUUCAGCUUGGACACUACAUCAGUGACACUGGCAUCUCCCCCAUGCUAGAGGGAACUGCACAAGACACUUCAUUCUCUUUAAUCUGCUCUACCCCGUCAUAUACCAUUGUUUAUGAUGCUAACAAUUAUGAUGGUGCAAUAGCACACUCAGUGACUCAUCAGCUCCCGCCUUCCAGAGGCACUCAGCUCUCACAUACACGGUGAGUAAUGGCUCAUAGAGACAUU
ensembl:lincRNA